AUAAGCAACGGCUUCUGGGCUUCACUUGUGGUAUAUUUCACAUGGAUGCCCAUUUAAACCACAAGCCACAAACUACCUGCACUCCUUUAUGAUGGCUCCACACUGUUGCCCUGAGGCACAGAAAGAUGGGAGGAGCCUCCAAGAACGACCCAUGCUCCAACCCUGCUCCGUGUCUCCAGUCCAGGGAUAAGAGCUGUUACCGUAUGCUAGCCAUAUCCCCCUGGCACCAGACGGACAGACAGCCUGGCUGCCUCCCCGGAAACCGGCACCGGCUCUCCUCCACCCCAUCGAGGAAAUUUCAUCCCUCCCUGCCUUCCACCGUCCUGCUGGAAAAGAGAAAAGCAGCCUCAGCUCAACUUUGGCAUUUCCAACAUUGGGCAGUCAGUCACACUGCCUCCCUCUGCCCCAGCUCUCCUCCACGUCAUUGAGGAGACUUCUUCGCAUCCUCCCUUCCACCACCUUGGCAGAAGAGAGAACAGCAGAGCACAGCAUGAAGCCGCCACAAAACCACAAGAAGACUAGUGCAGUGGUCACUGUGGCUAGGGAUGGCCUUGGUCUCUGAGUCCCGAGGAACCUGAAAUUCUGCUCCUCUAGCCACAGCACCCCACUGAACUUCUCUUU